CAGUGAAAAAAAAAACAGAGAGAGAGAACUUGAACUUCCAAAUUAAUUGAAACAACUAUAAAAUGAAUCGGGGGUUUCUGCUGAAGUGAAAAGUAAGAACAAUAACUAAUAAACAUCAUCCACAUCUAGCGAAUUAAAUUAUAAAUAGAGAAACCAGAAAGAUUGAAAGAUGAGAUCAUCAUCCAUCUUGCAAAGGAAUACAUAUAGGGUGGAGUGCCUUCAUCGAGGACAAAUUUAUCCUGCAACCUAAUCCAUUGUCCUAACAACCAUAAUGUAGAGAAAUUUGUGGUGCUC
rnacentral:lncRNA from 1 species